CCUCUCUUGAGCCGUGACCCAGAAAGUACAACUGUGGCUGCGACCAGAGAGUCCUGACCCUCUAUUUGGGGGAACACCGGGUCCAGAGCACAUCUGUAUUCAGCCCUGGCUCUGCACUUCUGUUGUCAAUGGACGGCGCCCAGACUCCUGAAGAUGGAUGAAGCUAAACCCCGGCCUAAUAACCAGUCUCUCCCCUCAGGGUGGGUGUACCACUGCUCUCCUCUGUCACCUGGGUCCCUGCACUGUCUCCAUAUUGACUUAGGCAUUUCAUUUCCAUGCAUUCAUAUUCAUCAGCAGCCAAACCUUUCCAGCGUCCAUAGUCCCUGGGAAACAUCUUUCCCAUAUAUCUGCUCUUGACUCUCUCAUUCUGUAUCAUUAGAAUCUUACUCUUCUUCUUCUGCUGUCUGCUUUUUAUCAACUUCACCUCGAUUAUGAGCUCCUGUUUCACAUCAAAAUAAUGACUCUGCAUUUAAGUAAACAUCUCUGUCUCCAUUAGAUACAGAGCACUCCACUUUUUCAUCCUAAAAGGUUGUAUUUCCUCACAGACUCCAUUGAAAAAUUGGAUGUUCUUUCUCUUUUACCAGUGACCAAACUGAAACCAGGAUACAGAAGACAGAGG